ensembl:lncRNA
AGAUCAUCUUUUAAAGGGAAGAUAAAAUACUCUACUUAUUUAUUCACUAUAACCCACAUGGGUAGUUUGAACAUUAUUUGUGUAAAACGUUACACUUAAAGAAGUUUAACAUGUUUAAUUGUUUUUUUGUUUUGUAGGUUUUACUUGUUGGCCGCCUCAUAGCUUGUUCUUGUGAAUGUCUACAUGGGAACCAAAAGUGUGAAUAGUAUUGUAAAUGGCCUGUAUUUGUAAAGCGCUUUUCUAGUCCCUAAGGACCCCAAAGCACUUUACUCAAUCAGUCACCCACCCAUUCACACACAUAUUCACACACUGGUGAUGGCAAGCUACAUUGUAGCCACAGCCACCCUGGGGCGCACUGACAGAGGCGAGGCUGCCGAACACUGGCGCCACCGGGCCCUCUGGUGGUCAGAGGGCCCGGUGGCGUAUAGUAUAGCAAGUUGACAGAAAAUAUUACUUUUGACACUUAUCUGGUGUGCAUGCUAAUGGGUAGGAGAACCAAUUUAUACCUUAAGUGAACAUUUUGACUGCAAGAUUGUUUCUUACCUGUGUUUUCUUACAAGGGUGUUCCAACAAAAAGAGUCCCCAGACUUCCUGAUUGCCUCUUCAAGGUGCCAGGUAGCACCAAGUAAUUUAAAAGGGGAUUAGACAGUCAUAUUGGUUUUUGUUUUAUUUAUUAUAUUUUUUAUUUUAUUUUAGAUCAUAAGUAUCUAGGCCAGUAGUUAUUGUGAUCUAUACAGUGUUGAUCCCACAUUGAUAUCAGUAAGUUAUAUUAUCAGAUAAGUUGUGUGUUUUGUUUAUUAUUUUAAUGGUAUGGCUUGGGGGUUAAUUACCAGUAUAGUCUAUGAAAGACUGCCAGUUAACAUCAGAGGCUGUUACUGGAACCAUGUCCCACCACUCGGCGACAUUGUUUUAGUUUGUGUUUGUCAGUGCUGGUGGUGAAACCUGGUUGGCUUGUACCUCAUCUCUGCCCCAAGCCUUUAACUGAAAAUUUCUCAUGGUGAGCAUUGGAUAAGGACUAUAAUAUAUUUGUUUUGACUCUAAAUGUGGCUAAAAAGGAGACCUUUCAUAUACUAGAUGGUGAUAUGACCUUUAAAAGUAUACCCAAAAUGCACUCUGUGAAAUUUUCGCUAUCAUCAUAAUUAUUAAUCUGGGGGAGUUCCUACUGUUAAAACGAUGACAAAUCCCAUGCAGAUGCAUGGUGCUGAACAAUGGUGACAGAAAACAUCAUGCUGACCAGAAAUUAUAUUUAGGCUUUAGACUGUGACUAU